rnacentral:rRNA from 1 species
UCAAGAAACUUCCACAAUGGGCGAAAGCCUGAUGGAGCGACGUCGCGUGAUGGACGAAGUGCUUCGGCACGUAAACAUCUUUUAUGUGGGAUGAAAUUAUUGACAGUACCACAUGAAUAAGGGGCUCCUAGCUCUGUGCCAGCAGGAGCGGUAAUACAGAGGCCCCAAGCGUUAUCCGGAAUCACUGGGCGUAAAGGGUGUCGAGGCGGUUGUAUUAGUCGUUCGUAAAAUCUACGAGCUUAACUUGUAGGCGGCGAACGAAACGGUACGACUUGAGGUUUGGAGAGGUGCGUGGAACUCACGGUGUAGGGGUGAAAUCCGUUGAUAUCGUGGGGAACACCAAAGGCGAAGGCAGCGCACUGGCCAAAAUCUGACGCUCACACACGAAAGCUAGGGUAGCGAAGAGGAUUAGAUACCCAAGUAGUCCCUGAGCGGGCUGGCAAGGCGCAU